GGGUCAGUAGGUUGGUCGUGCCACCGGUACGUACUGGUCUCGCUGAUUCCUCCUUCCUGAAGAACCGUAAUGCCAUUAAUUUGGUGUUGCGGGGAAACAGGACUGUUACUUCGAAAAAAUUAGAGUGUUUAAAGCAAGCUAACGCUUGAAUACAUUAGCAUGGAAUGAUGAAAUAGGACGAUCGAUCCUAUUUUGUUGGUUUCUAGGAUUGACGUA
rnacentral:rRNA from 1 species